CUCUGGAUCUCCCCGGUCGGCUCAUGCAGAGCCGACGCUAUCCGAGCGGCGGCUCUGGUCUAAGCCUCCAUGGGCCGGUGGGGAGAUCAAAGUUCUACCUCACCGGUCCACAGCAGCAUGGAGGGAGGCAGCAGAGAACCCGGGCUAGAGUUCACUCUCCACUGAACGACCAGGGAAGGCAGCAGGACUGGGAUAUUAACUAAUCUGCCCCCACCUCCACCCAAACAUAC